GACGAACGCUGGCGGCGUGCCUAAUACAUGCAAGUCGAGCGGACUUAAAAAGCUUGCUUUUUAAGUUAGCGGCGGACGGGUGAGUAACACGUGGGCAACCUGCCUGUAAGACUGGGAUAACUUCGGGAAACCGGAGCUAAUACCGGAUAAUCCUUUUCUACUCAUGUAGAAAAGCUGAAAGACGGUUUACGCUGUCACUUACAGAUGGGCCCGCGGCGCAUUAGCUAGUUGGUGAGGUAACGGCUCACCAAGGCGACGAUGCGUAGCCGACCUGAGAGGGUGAUCGGCCACACUGGGACUGAGACACGGCCCAGACUCCUACGGGAGGCAGCAGUAGGGAAUCUUCCGCAAUGGACGAAAGUCUGACGGAGCGACGCCGCGUGAGUGAUGAAGGUUUUCGGAUCGUAAAACUCUGUUGUUAGGGAAGAACAAGUACGAGAGUAACUGCUCGUACCUUGACGGUACCUAACCAGAAAGCCACGGCUAACUACGUG
rnacentral:rRNA from 1 species